rnacentral:rRNA from 1 species
AGAGCUUGCUCUCGGGUGACGAGUGGCGGACGGGUGAGUAAUGUCUGGGAAACUGCCUGAUGGAGGGGGAUAACUACUGGAAACGGUAGCUAAUACCGCAUAACGUCGCAAGACCAAAGAGGGGGACCUUCGGGCCUCUUGCCAUCAGAUGUGCCCAGAUGGGAUUAGCUAGUAGGUGGGGUAACGGCUCACCUAGGCGACGAUCCCUAGCUGGUCUGAGAGGAUGACCAGCCACACUGGAACUGAGACACGGUCCAGACUCCUACGGGAGGCAGCAGUGGGGAAUAUUGCACAAUGGGCGCAAGCCUGAUGCAGCCAUGCCGCGUGUAUGAAGAAGGCCUUCGGGUUGUAAAGUACUUUCAGCGGGGAGGAAGGUGUUGUGGUUAAUAACCGCAGCAAUUGACGUUACCCGCAGAAGAAGCACCGGCUAACUCCGUGCCAGCAGCCGCGGUAAUACGGAGGGUGCAAGCGUUAAUCGGAAUUACUGGGCGUAAAGCGCACGCAGGCGGUCUGUCAAGUCGGAUGUGAAAUCCCCGGGCUCAACCUGGGAACUGCAUUCGAAACUGGCAGGCUAGAGUCUUGUAGAGGGGGGUAGAAUUCCAGGUGUAGCGGUGAAAUGCGUAGAGAUCUGGAGGAAUACCGGUGGCGAAGGCGGCCCCCUGGACAAAGACUGACGCUCAGGUGCGAAAGCGUGGGGAGCAAACAGGAUUAGAUANCCUGGUAGUCCA